rnacentral:rRNA from 1 species
CGGCGCUGCUAAACUUGCAGUCCGAACGAUGGAAGGCCCAGCUUGCUUCGGGUGGAUGUAGUGGCGAAGCGGGUGAGUAACACGUGAGUAACCUGCCCUUGACUCUGGGAUAAGCCUGGGAAACUGGGUCUAAUACCGGAUAGGAACGUCCACCGCAUGGUGGUUGUUGGAAAGAUUUAUCGGUCAUGGAUGGACUCGCGGCCUAUCAGCUUGUUGGUGAGGUAAUGGCUCACCAAGGCGACGACGGGUAGCCGGCCUGAGAGGGUGACCGGCCACACUGGGACUGAGACACGGCCCAGACUCCUACGGGAGGCAGCAGUGGGGAAUAUUGCACAAUGGGCGAAAGCCUGAUGCAGCGACGCCGCGUGAGGGAUGACGGCCUUCGGGUUGUAAACCUCUUUCAGUAGGGAAGAAGCGAAAGUGACGGUACCUGCAGAAGAAGCACCGGCUAACUACGUGCCAGCAGCCGCGGUAAUACGUAGGGUGCGAGCGUUAUCCGGAAUUAUUGGGCGUAAAGAGCUCGUAGGCGGUUUGUCGCGUCUGUCGUGAAAGUCCGGGGCUUAACCCCGGAUCUGCGGUGGGUACGGGCAGACUAGAGUGCAGUAGGGGAGACUGGAAUUCCUGGUGUAGCGGUGGAAUGCGCAGAUAUCAGGAGGAACACCGAUGGCGAAGGCAGGUCUCUGGGCUGUAACUGACGCUGAGGAGCGAAAGCAUGGGGAGCGAACAGGAUUAGAUACCCUGGUAGUCCAUGCCGUAAACGUUGGGCACUAGGUGUGGGGACCAUUCCACGGUUUCCGCGCCGCAGCUAACGCAUUAAGUGCCCCGCCUGGGGAGUACGGCCGCAAGGCUAAAACUCAAAGGAAUUGACGGGGGCCCGCACAAGCGGCGGAGCAUGCGGAUUAAUUCGAUGCAACGCGAAGAACCUUACCAAGGCUUGACAUGUUCUCGAUCGCCGUAGAGAUACGGUUUCCCCUUUGGGGCGGGAUCACAGGUGGUGCAUGGUUGUCGUCAGCUCGUGUCGUGAGAUGUUGGGUUAAGUCCCGCAACGAGCGCAACCCUCGUUCCAUGUUGCCAGCACGUAAAGGUGGGGACUCAUGGGAGACUGCCGGGGUCAACUCGGAGGAAGGUGGGGACGACGUCAAAUCAUCAUGCCCCUUAUGUCUUGGGCUUCACGCAUGCUACAAUGGCCGGUACAAUGGGUUGCGAUACUGUGAGGUGGAGCUAAUCCCAAAAAGCCGGUCUCAGUUCGGAUUGGGGUCUGCAACUCGACCCCAUGAAGUCGGAGUCGCUAGUAAUCGCAGAUCAGCAACGCUGCGGUGAAUACGUUCCCGGGCCUUGUACACACCGCCCGUCAAGUCACGAAAGUCGGUAACACCCGAAGCCGGUGGCCUAACCCUUGUGGGGGGAGCCGUCGAAGUGACACAUG